rnacentral:rRNA from 1 species
UAGAGUUUGAUCCUGGCUCAGAACGAACGCUGGCGGCAUGCCUAACACAUGCAAGUCGAACGAAGGCUUCGGCCUUAGUGGCGCACGGGUGAGUAACACGUGGGAACCUGCCUUAUGGUUCGGAAUAACGUCUGGAAACGGACGCUAACACCGGAUGUGCCCUUCGGGGGAAAGUUUACGCCAUGAGAGGGGCCCGCGUCGGAUUAGGUAGUUGGUGUGGUAACGGCGCACCAAGCCGACGAUCCGUAGCUGGUCUGAGAGGAUGAUCAGCCACACUGGGACUGAGACACGGCCCAGACUCCUACGGGAGGCAGCAGUGGGGAAUAUUGGACAAUGGGCGCAAGCCUGAUCCAGCAAUGCCGCGUGAGUGAUGAAGGCCUUAGGGUUGUAAAGCUCUUUCGCACGCGACGAUGAUGACGGUAGCGUGAGAAGAAGCCCCGGCUAACUUCGUGCCAGCAGCCGCGGUAAUA